GACGAACGCUGGCGGCGUGCUUAACACAUGCAAGUCGAACGGAAAGGCCCUGCUUUUGUGGGGUGCUCGAGUGGCGAACGGGUGAGUAACACGUGAGUAACCUGCCCUUGACUUUGGGAUAACUUCAGGAAACUGGGGCUAAUACCGGAUAGGAGCUCCUGCUGCAUGGUGGGGGUUGGAAAGUUUCGGCGGUUGGGGAUGGACUCGCGGCUUAUCAGCCUGUUGGUGGGGUAGUGGCUUACCAAGGCUUUGACGGGUAGCCGGCCUGAGAGGGUGACCGGCCACAUUGGGACUGAGAUACGGCCCAGACUCCUACGGGAGGCAGCAGUGGGGAAUAUUGCAAAAUGGGCGGAAGCCUGAUGCAGCAACGCCGCGUGCGGGAUGACGGCCUUCGGGUUGUAAACCGCUUUCGCCUGUGACGAAGCGUGAGUGACGGUAAUGGGUAAAGAAGCACCGGCUAACUACGUG
rnacentral:rRNA from 1 species